CAUGAAGUGCCAGGGGAUGACCUUUUCCUAUUCUGCUCCUGCUUGACAUGGCAAACAGUAUUGCCGAGUAUUAUCUCAGUUAUUUAGUCAGUUUCAUGGCCCUUCUUUUAGGAUAAUUACUUUUCUGUGCUUCCAUUCAAAAAUUAUAUUAAAUUAAAAAAUUUUUUCCCGAUCUUUGAUGGAUUCAUGUAUUUUUGUUGAAAUAGUAUACUUAAUAGCUAUCUAUUUUCAUAUCAUUUUUUUAAGUAUUUUAUACUUAUUAAAAAAAUUUAUUAUAAAAAAAAAGUCUUAUUUAUUAGAUUCAUCUUAGGCCCCGAAAUGUAUUGAGCAGCCCCUGUUGCUAUGCUCUCCAACUUGUAAGCGCACCAAAUCCUGCUUUACCUGUUCAAUGUAUUUCCCAUGGCUACAGUUAUGAUACAAAGGAUAUCAUUAAUAUGAUCCUGUUAACC
rnacentral:lncRNA from 1 species